AGCUACAGUCAUACCACCCUAAACCUGGAAGCUAAGUAGAGUCAGGCCUGGCCAGCAUUUGUAUGGAAGACUGCCUGGGAAUACUGGGAGCUGUUGGCUU
ensembl:rRNA 5S_rRNA 5S ribosomal RNA